CCUACCAACACCACGUGGUCUUGAUCUUAUUGUUCCUGAAUAUUGGAAACUUUUGACUUUGUGGUUUCUCCAAUACGAGAAGAAUAAUAUCUAUCACUGCCUUUACACAAAAUAUUUUAUGUCAUGCGUUUUGUCCGGCCACGUGACAACCUUGUCUUGGUUUUUUGGUAAAACAGAUCUCGUUACUCACCUUGUAGAAGUUUCAACUACGAAUGAAGAAAGGAAAGCACACGCUCUACUGAUGUGCGGGAUACUCAAAUAUGCCUCGCAGCGGCAAACUUGUGAUUCUUAUAUAAACACGCUAUUAUAUAAAAAUUUGAGCUGGAAAAAAUAUUCUCAAAC